AACGCGAAGAACCUUACCUACCCUUGUAUCCUCGGAAUUUUACAGAGAUGUAGAAGUGCCUUCGGGAACCGAGAGACAGGUGCUGCAUGGCUGUCGUCAGCUCGUGUCGUGAGAUGUUGGGUUAAGUCCCGUAACGAGCGCAACCCUUAUUCUUAGUUGCCAGCGGUUAGGCCGGGAACUUUAAGGAGACUGCCGGUGACAAACCGGAGGAAGGUAGGGAUGACGUCAAGUCCUCAUGGCCUUUAUGGGUAGGGCCACACGCGUGCUACAAUGGGUGUUACAAAGGGUUGCAAGCCUGCGAAGGUGAGCCAAUCUCAAAAAAGCACUCGUAGUCCGGAUUGGAGUCUGCAACUCGACUCCAUGAAGCUGGAAUCGCUAGUAAUCGCAAAUCAGAAUGUUGCGGUGAAUACGUUCCCGGGCCUUGUACACACCGCACUACUA
rnacentral:rRNA from 1 species